GUUUGAUCCUGGCUCAGGAUGAACGCUGGCGGUAUGCUUAACACAUGCAAGUCGAACGGGAUGCUUAGGCAUCUAGUGGCGGACGGGUGAGUAACGCGUGAGAAUCUGGCUCCAGGUCGGGGAUAACAGUUGGAAACGACUGCUAAUACCGGAUGUGCCGAAAGGUGAAAGAUUUAUUGCCUGGAGAUGAGCUCGCGUCUGAUUAGCUAGUUGGUGGUGUAAGGGACCACCAAGGCAUCGAUCAGUAGCUGGUCUGAGAGGAUGAUCAGCCACACUGGGACUGAGACACGGCCCAGACUCCUACGGGAGGCAGCAGUGGGGAAUUUUCCGCAAUGGGCGAAAGCCUGACGGAGCAAUACCGCGUGAGGGAGGAAGGCUCUUGGGUCGUAAACCUCUUUUCUCAAGGAAGAAGAAAGUGACGGUACUUGAGGAAUAAGCAUCGGCUAACUCCGUGCCAGCAGCCGCGGUAAUACGGAGGAUGCAAGCGUUAUCCGGAAUGAUUGGGCGUAAAGGGUCUGCAGGUGGAACUGAAAGUCUGCUGUUAAAGAGUUUGGCUUAACCAAAUAAAAGCGGUGGAAACUACAGAACUAGAGUGUGGUAGGGGCAAAAGGAAUUCCUGGUGUAGCGGUGAAAUGCGUAGAUAUCAGGAAGAACACCGGUGGCGAAAGCGUUUUGCUAGACCAUAACUGACACUGAGGGACGAAAGCUAGGGGAGCGAAUGGGAUUAGAUACCCCWGUAGUCCUAGCCGUAAACGAUGGAUACUAGGCGUGGCUUGUAUCGACCCGAGCCGUGCCGGAGCUAACGCGUUAAGUAUCCCGCCUGGGGAGUACGCACGCAAGUGUGAAACUCAAAGGAAUUGACGGGGGCCCGCACAAGCGGUGGAGUAUGUGGUUUAAUUCGAUGCAACGCGAAGAACCUUACCAAGACUUGACAUCCUGCGAAUCCUGGUGAAAGCUGGGAGUGCCUUCGGGAGCGCAGAGACAGGUGGUGCAUGGCUGUCGUCAGCUCGUGUCGUGAGAUGUUGGGUUAAGUCCCGCAACGAGCGCAACCCUCGUUUUUAGUUGCCAGCAUUAAGUUGGGCACUCUAGAGAGACUGCCGGUGACAAACCGGAGGAAGGUGAGGAUGACGUCAAGUCAGCAUGCCCCUUACGUCUUGGGCUACACACGUACUACAAUGCUACGGACAGAGGGCAGCAAGCCAGGGAUGGCAAGCGAAUCCAGAAACCGUAGCUCAGUUCAGAUCGAAGGCUGCAACUCGCCUUCGUGAAGGAGGAAUCGCUAGUAAUUGCAGGUCAGCAUACUGCAGUGAAUUCGUUCCCGGGCCUUGUACACACCGCCCGUCCCCCCAUGGAAGUUGGUCACGCCCGAAGUCAUUACCCCAACCGAAAGGAGGGGGAUGCCUAAGGUAGGACUGGUGACUGGGGUGAAGUCGUAACAAGGUAGCCGUAGG
rnacentral:rRNA from 1 species